rnacentral:tRNA from 1 species
GGUUGUAUAGCUCAGUGAUAGGGCACAUGCCUACCAUGCAUGAGACCCUGGGUUUGAUCUCCAGCACCA